UCUGCACAUACUUAGUGUAGGCAGUGCUGAGUCUGUAGCCAGCACUAAAGGGCCCAAGGAAGCCACCACUUCCUUCCUUCUCUUCAGUUCAGGCCACACUCUCUUGCUCCAGACCUGAGGUGUACAGUCAGUUACCAGGUCCCCAUUUUCCUGCUUUCUCUCUGAGGACACAGCCUGGUGGACGGGAUGCCACUCCUGGAAGCAUUCACCUUCUUCUCCCUCUGGGCUCUUGGACUUGGAUUAUCAGAAGUGGAGCAGUCCCAUAAAUCCAUUUCCACAGAAGUAACGAAAAAUAUCAACAUCCAUUGCAAGAUAUCGAGCACACAUUUCGAAACUGAGGUCGUUCACUGGUACCAGCAGAAACCGAAUCAGGUUUUGAAGCAUCUGAUUCAAGUGACCUCCACAAAAUCCUCAGUUCAAGUGUCCUCGGAAGGGAGGAAGGACAAAGUUGUGGCUAAAAAGUAUCCUCAAAAUUCCACUUCAGUCCUUACCAUCAAUUCCGUACAGAAAGAAGAUACGGCCAUUUACUACUGCGCCGGAUGGUAGCCACAGUGCUAGACCUGUUGAGGCAGCCCACACAAGAUCCCCUCCUGCGCCCUGUGGCCACCACAUCCUUCCCAACAGUGGCGACCACAACCAGCUCCCCAGCUGCGCUCCCAGCCUCGGGCUCGCCUCCUCUGUGGCUCUUGCUGGGCUUUCCAGGAAGCCAUGACAGGUUACGCUUACAUGUUAGCUCCCAGCUGAGCCCACGGACUGUGCUUGAAAGUCUUUAUUGGACAUUAUUUUCUGAUGAGUUACAGUCCUGUCUGGGGGCUGAGAGGACACAGGCUGUGGCACCAUCUAUCGUGUCACCAUCCAGAGACUUCCAGUAACGAGCAAGGUGCAGGCUGACGGGGGAAUCAUUGAGUGGCAUCCUUACCACGCAUAGUCAAGACAGGGCAAACCCUCCGCAAUGUAACUAUCACUGAUUCAUUUUUCAACUAAAGACAUUAAAGCUCAGAGAAUUGGAGCAGAAGGAUCAGCCAAUGAUAAGGGGUCAUGCUUCUUGAACUGGUCUGUGAGACCACACUAAAGAGUUUAAAGAUUGCAAUUCUUUUUUUUUUGUUGUUCUUUCUUUCUGUGUGUGUGUGUGUGUGUGUGUGUGUUAGAGUCAGAGUCUUGCUCUGUCACCUACCCAGGCUGGAGUUGUGCAGGAGUACAGUGGUACGAUCAUCGCUCACUGCAGCCUUGAACUCCUGGGCUCAAGUGAACCUGC